GGCCCCAUAGCACAAUUGGAUAGGGCAGUCGCCUCCUAAGCGAUCGAUCUCAGUUCGAACCUGAGUGGGGUCA
rfam:Lactobacillus sanfranciscensis TMW 1.1304, complete genome.